GAACGUUGGGCCAACGUUUGAGCCAACGGUUCCGAGCACAUUCCAACGUUGGCCCGACGUUGCAUAUUU
rnacentral:miRNA from 1 species